rnacentral:rRNA from 1 species
UUGAGAGUCCUGAAGGAACGUUGAAGACGACGACGUUGAUAGGUCGGGUGUGUAAGCGCAGCGAUGCGUUGAGCUAACCGAUACUAAUGAACCGUGAGGCUUAACCUUACAACGCCGAAGGUGUUU